GACAGAGGGUGCAAGCGUUGUUCGGAAUUACUGGGCGUAAAGGGCUCGUAGGCGGCCAACUAAGUCAUACGUGAAAUCCCUCGGCUUAACCGGGGAACUGCGUCUGAUACUGGAUGGCUUGAGAUUGGGAGAGGGAUGCGGAAUUCCAGGUGUAGCGGUGAAAUGCGUAGAUAUCUGGAGGAACACCGGUGGCGAAGGCGGCAUCCUGGACCAACACUGACGCUGAGGAGCGAAAGCCAGGGGAGCAAACGGG
rnacentral:rRNA from 1 species